UGUGUUGAAACGCUCAUUCCCAUACAAUUACCAAAGUUAAGUAGCAUUGAGCCUGGUCAGUACUGGAAUGGGUAACCACUUGAGAAUACUAAGUGGUGUA